rnacentral:lncRNA from 1 species
ACAUAGCCAAUCUCCCAUUUUUCACUUCCUUGAGCUUCAACUCGUUCAUUGACUUCUCAUCCUUUCCAAAACCCAACGGGUUAAAUAACGGCCCACCAGGGUAGGCUGGGUUUCCGGAUCCUCCCAAGUACUUCUCAAAGCCCAAGAAGUAUUGCUUGCUCAUGGAUCCGGGGUUGUACCAAUCCUGGAAACGUCGGUGCUCGGCAAAGCCCAUUAGGGCCAUCUCCAAAACGAAUAGGGUGUAAUUGUCAGCCCAGUAGUUAUAGGUUCCGGCCGGGGGAAUCACACCGGUUUGGAACCAAGGGAGAGCUGUUUCAGGUGGAAUAAGUCCGAGCUUCCCAAAAAUCUCAGGUGCAAUGGCACCGGCUGCACCCAACAUGGCAAAACGUCCAUUGAUGAUCUCACCAUAGGCUAACCAUCUUGGUUCGAUAAACCCUCCGGUGCCUUCUGGGUCUGAGAGGCCCAAUGGGUCGAAUCCAAAGUCACCUGGAAGGCUGC